rnacentral:rRNA from 1 species
AUGGCCCAAGAACACGCUCAUUCUUCAGCCGUGGAGAGACUUUUGAAUUGUGAGGUACCAUUACGAGCUCAAUAUAUAAGAGUGUUAUUCUGUGAAAUAACUCGAAUUUCAAAUCAUUCACUUGCUUCAACUACUCAUGCUAUGGAUGUGGGAGCAUCAACUCCGUUCCUUUGGGCUUUUGAGGAGCGGGAGAAAUUGUUGGAAUUCUAUGAAAGAGUCCCGGGAGCCAGGAUGCAUGCCAGUUUCAUACGACCUGGUGGAGUGGCACAAGAUCUGCCUCUUGGCUUAUGUCGAGAUAUUGAUUCCUCCACACAACAAUUUGCUUCUCGUAUCGACGAAUUAGAAGAGAUGUCAACCGGCAACCGUAUCUGGAAACAACGAUUAGUGGAUAUUGGUACUGUCACUGCACAACAAGCAAAGGAUUGGGGAUUCAGUGGUGUAAUGUUAAGAGGUCGUGCGACAUGA